UUUCAGGGCUUUCUUUAUCAAUAAAUGUAUUGCUGAUGGAAGAUGAAUGAUCUUUUUAUCAGGAAAUGUGCAACACAGACAACAACAGGUUGAAGUUCCACUGGUUGACCAAAGUGCCUCUGCUGUGGCCUGGACUAUUGAUAGCAGAAAAGCUAAGGUGAUCCUUCACUGGUAUUUUAUGAACUACACAUCGGAAAUAAAUUCAGUAAUUAAGGUGGCAGUUUGAAAUAACUCAAUUUUUUUCCCCUUUAUGCUUUUCUGCAGUUUUGAAUUCAAUACAGACUGCCCAUAAGCUACAGGCUAUAUGUAUACCUAGUGAGUCUAUGAUCCUUAUGAUUUUUAGAUAUUUCUUCUUCAGAUGAGGGUUUUCUCACAGUGGGAAGCAUAGUCAUUUUAUAUUCCUUCCCAAAUCCUCAUUCAAACUGACUCUUUCUAAAACCAGAGCUGCAUAAAAGCAUCAUUUAAGGUGCAAUUGCACAACCACUGUGCUCACAAAUAAUAUGCAAGUUUCAGUGACAGGAGUACUCAAAUAUUUGUUUUCUUUUCACUUAUACAACAACAUGAAGACAGCUGCUUGACUAAAUGCUUCACUAUCUCUUAAUAUAAAUUCUUCCUCAUAAUGUUUUUCUCUCUUCUAUCCCCUACCACUUACUUAUUUCUACUCCACCCACUUUCAAUGUUCCUACAAGCUUUUCAAAUUGUUCUGCUGUUUUUGGGUUUAUUUGUGCCGUACACCAUCCAUAAAGGCAUCUCUGGAACUUAUAAGUAGUUUUGCAAAGACAACAGUGGGAGACAGUUACACAUCAUAUUAUUUUUGGCUAGAUCCUACAGGAACAAUGGCUAUUGUUUGGCAAGCUAGCAACAAGGAGGCUGCAUUAAUGAUGUAAGGAUUUAGAGCCUGGGGGUUGUUCCUUGAAUGGUUGUGAGCCAUUUUAAGGUAUGUGUGAUUCAACAACACUUAGCAACAUGUUUUUAAAAAAGAAAAAAGGGAAAAAUGGAAGGUAAAAAAAGGAAAAAAAAGAAAAAGGGCAAAACAACCAUGAACCUGAAACUAUGGAUAAAAAUAAUGUCCCGUAUGAACGUUUGGUUUUUUUCCUCUUGCACAUAAUUGUUACAUGUGUUGAUCAAAAUUGCCAACUUUCUAUUUAUUUUCCCUCUCCCUGUGAUUUCGACUUAAUAAGAUGGUGUCGGCUGUUUGCGGGAUGCCACAGUGGGACAGCAUCGGGGGUGUGGGACAGGGGUUGCUUUUGGGCUGGGGCUGCGUUGGACUCACAGACGUGCAAGUGAAAUAAGGUCAGUGCCAAAAGACUUCCCCAGUGCUUGAGGAGCAAACGCUAGUGCAUCUGUGGGAAUUCAUGAGUCGGAUCUGGUAACGAAAUAUUAAAUUAACACUGUUUAUAAUCUUGAAGCGAGCCCCGGUCGCUGCGUCCCGGAGCGUCACCGGUAACGUUGAAAUCGCCCACAGCCGCACACAGCGCUGCAACGACCUGCUGUGGGAGAGAGGUGGCAGGCUGCCGGGAUGGGAGUCGGCCCUUCCCGGAGCUUGGGGGUGGCGGGGCUCCCCCGGGAGUUCCGCCGGCAGCUCCCGCUCCCGCCCGUGCCCCGCCAUGCUCCGCGCACCCAGCAGGCGGCGCUGUGGGGCCGCCGCGCUCCCGCCGCCCGCGGUUCCUGUCGCCGGGGAAUGGCAGCGAAGGGAGCAGGAACGGCGUCUGAGCCCCGCGUGGAGCGGAGGUGCGGAGUUCUGGGUUUAAGCAGCGGUCCCUCCAUCUGAAUGGGAGGACAUCGUUUCCCUCCCCAUUGAGACUGCACCGUGGAGCAGCAUGAAAGGAUUGCUGUACAGCUGCGCUGGGGCUUCAAGGGCAUCAGGGAAAGGAGCAAAACAAGCCCAAGAUCCCAGCAGUUGUGUUCUGAGGACAGGCAUUCCUGACUGCUUUCCCAAAGUGCAUGCAAAGUGCAUGACUGGAAUCCACUUUCUCUCCAUACAGGAUGUAGCAGAGAACAGUGCCUCUUCUGAGCCCUUUUCGAAGAAAGAAACGACAUCUCCCGUGAUUCUCCUCAAAGCCCUAGUUUCAAAUCCUCCUUAAAUGCCCUGUAUUCCAGCAGCACAGUCACCACAUCAGAUCCCAGAGGUACUCUGGUGUGAGCAAGAGCUUAGGGUGAAAUCUGCCAUUCAACCCCUCUGGUUGGAAGUGGAAAGACCUAUCCCUCUGUUCUGGGGACCAGACUUUGUUUCGAGUUUCUGACAUUUAAACUGUUUGUACUGGACUAUAAGUACAAAAUAAAAGAAUUAAAAAAAAAAAAAAAAAAGAGAAAGAGAUAAAAAUGCACAACAAACCUGCACUUUCUCUUCUUCCCUAAUUCCCUUAAUGUUUUUUCUUCUGUCUCUCUUUCCUCUCACCAGCAUCUUCCAGCUGAAUUCUUUCCGUUUCUCCUUUAGCUCCAACAGAAAAGGAGGGAGGGGUGUGUUUGUGUGUGGGGACCUGUAACAGUUUACAUUCCCCUUGCAAACUUAGCUAGAGCUAGUUAUCUAGAUAAGCUGGGAAAUACUGAAUGCAUGCACGUCUUUCAUUGAGUUAACUUAGUUUACAGUCUAGGCCUAGUAUGUUAACUUCCUAGAUUAGAAUUUUUAUCAGGUGCUUAGCAUAUGAGAAGAACAAUCUUAUGUAUACACAUUAUCUUUUAU